rnacentral:rRNA from 1 species
CCUACGGGGGGCAGCAGUGGGGAAUAUUGCGCAAUGGGCGAAAGCCUGACGCAGCCAUGCCGCGUGAGUGAUUGAAGGUCUUCGGAUCGUAAAGCUCUGUCGGGAGGGACGAAGGGGCAACCCGGACGGUACCUCGCAAGAAAGCACCGGCUAACUCUGUGCCAGCAGCCGCGGUAAUACAGAGGGUGCAAGCGUUGCUCGGAUUUAUUGGGCGUAAAGCGUGCGCAGACGGUUUGAAAGGUCGGGCGUGAAAGCCCCAGGCUCAACCUGGGAACUGCGCUCGAAACCAUCAAACUUGAGUUUGGGAGAGGGAGGCGGAAUUCCUGGUGUAGAGGUGAAAUUCGUAGAUAUCAGGAGGAACACCAGCGGCGAAGGCGGCUUCCUGGCCCAAUACUGACGUUCAGGCACGAAAGCGUGGGUAGCAAACAGGAUUAGAUACCCCAGUAGUC